rnacentral:rRNA from 1 species
GACGAACGCUGGCGGCGUGCUUAACACAUGCCAGUCGAACGGAAAGGCCCUGCUUUUGUGGGGUGCUCGAGUGGCGAACGGGUGAGUAACACGUGAGUAACCUGCCCUUGACUUUGGGAUAACUUCAGGAAACUGGGGCUAAUACCGGAUAGGAGCUCCUGCUGCAUGGUGGGGGUUGGAAAGUUUCGGCGGUUGGGGAUGGACUCGCGGCUUAUCAGCUUGUUGGUGGGGUAGUGGCUUACCAAGGCUUUGACGGGUAGCCGGCCUGGGAGGGUGACCGGCCACAUUGGGACUGAGAUACCGCCCAGAAUUCUACGGGAGGCAGCAGUGGGGAAUAUUGCAAAAUGGGCGGAAGCCUGAUGCAGCAACGCCGGGUGCGGGAUGACGGCCUUCGGGUUGUAAACCGCUUUCGCCUGUGACGAAGCGUGAGUGACGGUAAUGGGUAAAGAAGCACCGGCUAACUACGUG